GCUUCGGUAGCCUAAGUGGUUAGAGCGUCCGCCUCGAAUGCGGGAGGUAGCGAGUUCGAACCACAGCCAAAUCA